rnacentral:rRNA from 1 species
ACAUCCAGAGAACUUGGCAGAGAUGCCUUGGUGCCUUCGGGAACUCUGAGACAGGUGCUGCAUGGCUGUCGUCAGCUCGUGUUGUGAAAUGGUUGGGUUAAGUCCCGNAACGAGCGCAACCCCUAUCCUUUGUUGCCAGCGAUUCGGUCGGGAACUCAAAGGAGACUGCCGGUGAUAAACCGGAGGAAGGUGGGGAUGACGUCAAGUCAUCAUGGCCCUUACGAGUAGGGCUACACACGUGCUACAAUGGCGCAUACAAAGAGAAGCGACCUCGCGAGAGCAAGCGGACCUCAUAAAGUGCGUCGUAGUCCGGAUCGGAGUCUGCAACUCGACUCCGUGAAGUCGGAAUCGCUAGUAAUCGUAGAUCAGAAUGCUACGGUGAAUACGUUCCCGGGCCUUGUACACACCGCCCGUCACACCAUGGGAGUGGGUUGCAAAAGAAGUAGAUAGCUUAACCUUCGGGAGGGCGUUUACCACUUUGUGAUUCAUGACUGGGGUGAAGUCGUAACAAGGUAGGCGUAGCGAG